rnacentral:rRNA from 1 species
GGGGGGGGGGGGGGGGGGGCGGGGGGCGGGCAGGGGGGGCGGGCGGAGGGGAGGGUGGGGUUUCGGAGGUUAGCGGCGGGGGGGGGAGGAACGCGUGGAGAAGCCACCUAUAAGGCGGGGAUGAGGUCGGGAAACCGGAGCUAAGACCGGAUAAUAUUUUGAGCCGCAUGGGUCAACAGUGAAAGACGGGCUUGCGGGCACUGAUAGAUGGAUCCGCGCUGCAUGAGCUAGUUGGUAAGGUAACGGCUUACCAAGGCAACGAUGCAUAGCCGACCUGAGAGGGUGAUCGGCCACACGGGAACUGAGACACGGUCCAGACUCCUACGGGAGGCAGCAGUAGGGAAUCUUCCGCAAUGGGCGAAAGCCUGACGGAGCAACGCCGCGUGAGUGAUGAAGGUCUUCUGAUCGUAAAACUCUGUUAUUAGGGAAGAACAUAUGUGUAAGUAACUGUGCACAUCUUGACGGUACCUAAUCAGAAAGCCACGGCUAACUACGUG